UACGUAGGGGCAAGCGUUGUCCGGAAUCAUUGGGCGUAAAGCGCGCGUAGGCGGCCCGGUAAGUCCGCUCUGAAAGUCCAGGGCUCAACCCUGGAAAGCGGGUGGAUACUGCCGGGCUAGAAUCCGGAAGAGGCGAGUGGAAUUCCUGGUGUAGAGGUGAAAUUCGUAGAUAUUAGGAAGAACACCAGUGGCGAAGGCGGCUCACUGGUCCGGUACUGACGCUGAGGUGCGAAAGCGUGGGGAGCAACAGG
rnacentral:rRNA from 1 species